rnacentral:rRNA from 1 species
UACGUAGGUGGCGAGCGUUGUCCGGAUUUACUGGGCGUAAAGCGCGCGUAGGUGCUUCUUAAGUCUUGUCGUGAAAGGUCGCGGCCCAACUGCGACAGUGCGCGGGAUACUGGGGAGCUUGAGGGCAGCAGAGGCCGGUGGAAUUCCCGGUGGAGUGGUGAAAUGCGCAGAUAUCAGGAGGAACACCGGUGGCGAAGGCGGGAUCCUGGGCCAGUACUGACGCUGAGGAGCGAAAGCGUGGGGAGCAAACAGG